GUGAGCAUUGCAGCUAAUGCCAUGGCAGAGGAUGACUCCCAGCCUUCCCUUUGGUCAAAGACUCAGAUAGAUGACGCUACUGGUCCAAACAACACUCCUCAACAGAACCAUCAAUAGUUGAGACACUUCCUCCUACUGAAAGGAAUGAGAUGCUUCCACCACCAUCCAAGAGAUACAAACCAUCACUAUUAGAUCAUGUGACACCUUCAGGGGUCAGUGCUGUGAGGCCCUUCUCAAAAGGUAAAGUGUUCCAGAGGAAGAAAACAUCCUGGCAGCAGACAGAGGUACAGGCAGUGGAAAGGCACAUCGAUUCAUCAUAUCUGGUAUUGUACCAGCAAAGAAUGAUUGUAAGAAAUGCUUAAGGGCUAAACCAGAAGCUCCAGAACCAGGACUGACAGAAUCUGUAAUUCUACGUUUAUAACCACAUUACGGCCUAAAAAGGGGAACUGCAAUGUAAAUACUGUAGGGUGAAGUUAAUCAAUUCUGUAGUAUGGCAGGUUCUGUGGUUAAAGUUUUAAGUUUGUACUAAUUUUAUUAUAUUUGAGUUCUUUUGUGCAGUUGAACUCAAUUAAAAGCUUUUGCAAUUAAAAUGCAAGUUUAUUGUCUUGAAAUUCAAGCAAUAGUUGUUUUAUUAUAUUGCUAAUGUGGUGGAAUUCCCUUUACCACCAAAGGUCAAGUCUUCUAUACACCCAACAAUUACUUAAUAAAUAAAUUUUGUGUUCAGUAAUGGGGCCUCCACCAUUAUCUCUUCAAAGUUUACAUUGCAUCACUAGCACCAUUUGCAGGCUUCAUGCUACAUCUCUACAUCACUUUUUAGGGCAUUUCAAUUAUGACAUAUCAAAAUUAUUUUUCUCUACAGACAUAUCAAUUAGGCUAUUUAACACGAUUACUCAUUGACAUUGGAAACAUCAUGCAUUUACUGAACUUAAAAAAAACAAAAAACUAAUCACGUCUGUGC